rnacentral:rRNA from 1 species
UACGUAGGGGGCAAGCGUUGUCCGGAUUUAUUGGGCGUAAAGAGCGUGUAGGCGGCCAUACAGGUCAGCUGUGAAAACUCGAGGCUCAACCUCGAGACGUCGGUUGAAACCGUAUGGCUAGAGUCCGGAAGAGGAGAGUGGAAUUCCCGGUGUAGCGGUGAAAUGCGCAGAUAUCGGGAAGAACACCCGUGGCGAAGGCGGCUCUCUGGCCCGAUACUGACGCUGAGGCACGAAAGCGUGGGGAGCAAACAGG